AUAGGUAAAGAAGAGACUUACCUAAUUUAGCAUCCUACUUUGUAACCUCAAUCUAAUGAGGACAUUUUUUAGUGAUUAGAAGAGGUUGAGAAGAGGAAUGUAAUAAUAGUAACUUCAUGAUUCUACUACUAAUAUCUUUGUGAAACUAUUUAAUCACUUAUUGUUUCCAUUUUGCACUGUAAAAUAUUGGUUACAUAUUCUCUUCCUCUCCCUCUAAUGAAAUAUAAUUUUCUAAAUACCCUUUCAAUGAAUGUUUUAGAAACAAAUUAAAAAACUUGUGGAAACAAAGAAUUUUGCUACUCUCUAUAAAUAACAUUAAAGUGAAAAAUUUCAGUGACUGCAGGAAGCAAUGAUCUCUUUUCUAACUUGAUAGAAUGAAUUCACACUCUGCUAUUUCUUCAGCCUCGUGGUCUUAUCAUAUAAGGCAGUGUGGUGUAGUAAAAAGAGUUCAGUUUGGAACCACACAAAUGUAGUUUCAAAUCUGGCUCUGCAACUAAUGGUGAUCCUAACCUUCAGCAACUUACUAAACAUUGCUAAGCCUCAAAUUCUUUCUAAAAGUGAGGCUAAUCAUAUCAAUCUUGUAAAAUAUGCAAUGAGCAGUAUAUGAUACAAUAAUUUUCAGGUAUUUUGUCUAAUGUUAGGGAUGCAACACAUAUUCAAUACUGUGUGUAUUAUUAGUGUUAAGUCCUCCUCCUCACUCAAGUUCUUUAAUAUCCUUCUAAAAUAAAUCUCAAUGCCAUUCUAUCAUUCACUCAUUCUACCAAUGUAUAUUGAGCACCAUGCAUACAUACAAGAUAUCAUUACAUAAAUAAAUGAGUCAUUUUGGAUAUAAGUAAGGAAAAGAUGGAUUAUUCAGAAAAUGGCUUGGAAUGACUGGUUAGCAAUUUUGAUCUUUAAGUUUGAUGGUCUAAAACUAUGUUGUUCCAUACAAAAGCUAUUAGCCACAUGUGACUACUGAGCAUUUCAAAUAUGGCUAUUUUAAAUUGAGGUGUGCUGAAAAUGUAAAAUACACACAAGACUUUGAAAACCCAGUAUGAAGAAAGGACUGCAAGAUCUCUCAUUAAAAUAUUUUUUGAAUUGAUCACAUGUUGAAAUGGUAAUAUUUUGUAUAUACAGUUGACUCCCAGUAUCCAUAGGGGAUUGGCUCCAGGAACCCAGCAAAUACCAAAAUCUACAGAUAUUCAAGU
rnacentral:lncRNA from 10 species